rnacentral:lncRNA from 1 species
UGCCUGUCUCACUGGAAUCUUGUAAGGAUUAAAUGGUUACUGUUUUUAACGUAGUUGGAAGAGUUUGUGGUCCUGUGUUUGUUAAAUAUACACAAAUUAACUUCCCAGCUCACCCAUGCCUAGUAUUAUGCAAGGGGCUUCACAUCAAUUACCUUGUUUGGUCUUCACCACAGCCACAUGAGCUUGGAAUGACUAUUAUUAGGGAAAGUGGACCCAAGAAGGUCAAGUUCCUUGCCUGAGGUCACACAGCUAGUAAAAGGCAGAGCAAAGGUUGAAACUCAGGAUGGUCUGUCUCCAGGACCGGGGCUCUCCACCACUCGGGCCUGCCUAUUCCAGGGCUGGCAGCCUCUCUACAGAGGUGAAGCGUCUACUGGAUCACUUUUGACCAACAACACAUCAGCCGGCAGAGGAAGGAGGGGUGGGCCAAGAAGGGCCCCUUCCCUCUCAGGCCGGAGAGAUUCCUCUGACUAAUUUGCUGAGUGACUUCGAUGGCAAACUGCAGCCCUGUUCCCUCCAGCUGAGACUCCUCCGUCUUGCUCAUGACUGGGUCCCCUGGGCAGAGCCAGGUCCUGGCAGAGAGCAGAUAUCCAGUAAAUACCUCUUGGCCCUAAGAAUGACUGGGAACACUCAUGUAGCGAGAACACCUUCCUGUGUGUUAUCUCAUCUCAUCCUCACAGCAGCCCAGAGAGGUUUUCCUGGCAAAGGAGCCUUUGGUGGUGGAUGUCUUCAUGGCACAUGUGAGGACCAUCAAUACCAAAUCUCCCUUCAUCUGCUUGGAGUUCCCUGCAUCAGUACAUGAUCCCAUAUAGGGCAGGGUAAGCAUUGUUCUUCAGGUUUCUUUUUAAAACUCUAAGUGCUAUUGGGAAAGGGAAGCCAGUGGUCCUCCCACCACUGAGUGACUGGGGCUGGGUGGGCUAAACCUGGAGGAGAAGAGGCCUGGGAAGGGUGAGGCUGCCACGGGUACCUCAUAGGUUGGUUGACCAGGCCUGACUGGUGGCCUGUAAGCUGCUACCUGGCAACCAAACCUCUGCCCUGGACUUACACUGUGAGCCCCUCUUCCCUCUUCUCGGGGUGAUCUCGCAUUGGUAAGUCAGGGUCAGUUCCCUGGGGCCCAACUCCCACCCAGGCUCUGUGUCUGACAUGAGGUCACAGAACACCCCCAUGCUAGCAUGUUUGCUCCCAAGUUUAAUGUCCUUUUUCAAAGUAGAUGUCAU